GGCUGGUCCGAUGGCAGUGGGUUAUUAGAACUUAUUAACAUUAGUGUCACUAAAGUUGGUAUACCACCCCCCCACUGCUAAAUUUGACUGGCUUUAA
ensembl:misc_RNA Y_RNA Y RNA